rnacentral:lncRNA from 10 species
UUUAGAGACAAAGCCCCUGAACUUGGGUCCUCGCUUUGUUCAGGCUGUCAAGAGGAGCAGGGAAUAAGACAAUAUCCUGAAUGCUUGGAGAUGACAGAACAACACUAAAAUGGGAAAGGGGAAGUUGUAAAGGGCUGACUUACUUAGUCCGGUCCAUUCUGAGUCCUGGUGACAGUUCUCAAUUAGUGGAUAUUAUGUAAGUUGUUUUAGUUCUGCUUCUGCAAUUAGACUGUCAUUGAUACCGUUUGUAGCCUAUGUAAUACCUGUUACCCUUAUUCCUAACAGGAGGCAAGAGAGAAAGGAGCUGGAGGAAAAGGAGUAAUUCUGGAAAAAGUUUCCUCACUCUUAAUAGAAAGAGAGAGAGAGAGAG